GAGUAGCUCAGUUGGUAGAGCAUCAGACUCUUAAUCUCAGGGUUGUAGGUUUGAGCCCCACGUUGGCCG